rnacentral:rRNA from 1 species
AUUGAACGCUGGCGGCAGGCCUAACACAUGCAAGUCGUACGAGUGGCGGACGGGUGAGUAAUGUCUGGGAAACUGCCUGAUGGAGGGGGAUAACUACUGGAAACGGUAGCUAAUACCGCAUAACACACGAUGUGGCCAGAUGGGAUUAGCUUGUUGGUGGGGUAACGGCUCACCAAGUCGUCGAUCCCUAGCUGGUCUGAGAGGAUGACCAGCCACACUGUAACUUAGACACGUGCCAGACUCCUACGGGAGGCAGCAGUGGGGAAUAUUGCACAAUGGGAGCAAGCCUGAUGCAGCCAUGCCGCGUGUAUGAAGAAGGCCUUCGGGUUGUAAAGUACUUUCAGCGAGGAGGCGUUACCCGCAGAAGAAGCACCGGCUAACUCCGUGCCAGCAGCCGCGGUAAUUC